GAUGAAGAACGUAGUGAAAUGCGAUAAGUAAUGUGAAUUGCAGAAUUCAGUGAAUCAUCGAAUCUUUGAACGCACAUUGCGCCCGCCAGUAUUCUGGCGGGCAUGCCUGUUCGAGCGUCAUUUCAACCCUCAAGCCCCCGGGCUUGGUGUUGGGGAUCGGCGUGCCCUCGCGGCGCGCCGUCCCCUAAAUCUAGUGGCGGUCUCGCUGUAGCUUCCUCUGCGUAGUAGCAACACUCGCACUGGAUCGCAGCGCGGCCACGCCGUUAAACCCCCCACUUCUGAAAGUUUGACCUCGGAUCAGGUAGGAAUACCCGCUGAACUUAAGCAUAUCAAUAAGCGAGGA
rnacentral:misc_RNA from 1 species